CAGAAAUUCACUUCAGACUCGCUGUGUUCACACAUGACCAAACAACAGAUAAUUACGGACACAGAGGAGCCCCCGCCAAUGACCAAUGGCGCAAUUGGACCUCCAGACAUCUCCAAAUCAAGAGCAGAUGGACCAGUCCAGCCACACCUGAAGCAGUGGCCACUCCAGAAUUUUUUCAUAGAAGUGGCUAUUUGGGGGCCACUAAAAAUAUUGGUGUGCAACACCAAAAACUGAAUUUCCAGUUUUAUUAUGCUUUUGUCAAAUAUAGGUUACUUAUGUCAAAAAAUACAGAGAAUUAUAUGCCUAGUUGAUUUCCUGUUAUUAAAGUUGAUAGCACUGAAUAUAGGUACAUAUGGAAUCUGUUUUGAGCCAGAAUACGUUUUUUCACCUCAUUUUUUGAUCAUCCAGUAAGCUCAAAAAACAACAAAAUAGAGUCACAGAGUGCCAAGGAGUAGUCCUAACUACUCUAGAUUUUUUUUUCGGAGUUUCCAUAUAAUAUGCCGUCUUUUGGAUCAAGAUAUUACUGGAGGAAGAUGGAAACAUUCUACUUUAAAUUGGGUAGUUUACGUAUGUUCUAUUAACUAGAAUUUGUUCUUUGUGAUCUGUCAUAAUUUUAUUCAAUUUAUGCGCAAAGAUUUUAUGUCUGUUGUUGAUAUUAACCUAGAAACACCUAGAACGAAUGAGUGAACAUCAAGUUGUGAUUGUGACAUAUUAUUUAGUUAUUUUCAAUAU